rnacentral:rRNA from 1 species
ACGCUCGACACCUACGGGGGGCAGCAGUCGGGAAUAUUGCGCAAUGGAGGAAACUCUGACGCAGUGACGCCGCGUGCAGGAAGAAGGUUUUUCGGAUUGUAAACUGCUUUAGACAGGGAAGAAAGAAAUGACAGUACCUGUAGAAUAAGCUCCGGCUAACUACGUGUCAGCAGCCGCGGUAUCUGAGCGGNUGGCAAGGC